rnacentral:rRNA from 2 species
GCAAGUCGAACGAACUCUGGUAUUGAUUGGUGCUUGCAUCAUGAUUUACAUUUGAGUGAGUGGCGAACUGGUGAGUAACACGUGGGAAACCUGCCCAGAAGCGGGGGAUAACACCUGGAAACAGAUGCUAAUACCGCAUAACAACUUGGACCGCAUGGUCCGAGCUUGAAAGAUGGCUUCGGCUAUCACUUUUGGAUGGUCCCGCGGCGUAUUAGCUAGAUGGUGGGGUAACGGCUCACCAUGGCAAUGAUACGUAGCCGACCUGAGAGGGUAAUCGGCCACAUUGGGACUGAGACACGGCCCAAACUCCUACGGGAGGCAGCAGUAGGGAAUCUUCCACAAUGGACGAAAGUCUGAUGGAGCAACGCCGCGUGAGUGAAGAAGGGUUUCGGCUCGUAAAACUCUGUUGUUAAAGAAGAACAUAUCUGAGAGUAACUGUUCAGGUAUUGACGGUAUUUAACCAGAAAGCCACGGCUAACUACGUGCCAGCAGCCGCGGUAAUACGUAGGUGGCAAGCGUUGUCCGGAUUUAUUGGGCGUAAAGCGAGCGCAGGCGGUUUUUUAAGUCUGAUGUGAAAGCCUUCGGCUCAACCGAAGAAGUGCAUCGGAAACUGGGAAACUUGAGUGCAGAAGAGGACAGUGGAACUCCAUGUGUAGCGGUGAAAUGCGUAGAUAUAUGGAAGAACACCAGUGGCGAAGGCGGCUGUCUGGUCUGUAACUGACGCUGAGGCUCGAAAGUAUGGGUAGCAAACAGGAUUAGAUACCCUGGUAGUCCAUACCGUAAACGAUGAAUGCUAAGUGUUGGAGGGUUUCCGCCCUUCAGUGCUGCAGCUAACGCAUUAAGCAUUCCGCCUGGGGAGUACGGCCGCAAGGCUGAAACUCAAAGGAAUUGACGGGGGCCCGCACAAGCGGUGGAGCAUGUGGUUUAAUUCGAAGCUACGCGAAGAACCUUACCAGGUCUUGACAUACUAUGCAAAUCUAAGAGAUUAGACGUUCCCUUCGGGGACAUGGAUACAGGUGGUGCAUGGUUGUCGUCAGCUCGUGUCGUGAGAUGUUGGGUUAAGUCCCGCAACGAGCGCAACCCUUAUUAUCAGUUGCCAGCAUUAAGUUGGGCACUCUGGUGAGACUGCCGGUGACAAACCGGAGGAAGGUGGGGAUGACGUCAAAUCAUCAUGCCCCUUAUGACCUGGGCUACACACGUGCUACAAUGGAUGGUACAACGAGUUGCGAACUCGCGAGAGUAAGCUAAUCUCUUAAAGCCAUUCUCAGUUCGGAUUGUAGGCUGCAACUCGCCUACAUGAAGUCGGAAUCGCUAGUAAUCGCGGAUCAGCAUGCCGCGGUGAAUACGUUCCCGGGCCUUGUACACACCGCCCGUCACACCAUGAGAGUUUGUAACACCCAAAGUCGGUGGG